UACGUAGGGUGCGAGCGUUAAUCGGAAUUACUGGGCGUAAAGAGUGCGUAGGCGGUUCGUUAAGUCAGCUGUGAAAGCCCCGGGCUCAACCUGGGAACUGCGGUUGAAACUGGCGAACUAGAAUCUGGCAGAGGGGGGUGGAAUUCCACGUGUAGCAGGUGAAAUGCGUAGAGAUGUGGAGGAACACCGAUGGCGAAGGCAGCCCCCUGGGCUGAGAUUGACGCUCAGGCACGAAAGCGUGGGGAGCAAACAGG
rnacentral:rRNA from 1 species